rnacentral:rRNA from 1 species
UUAAAUUGAAGAGUUUGAUCAUGGCUCAGAUUGAACGCUGGCGGCAGGCCUAACACAUGCAAGUCGAACGGUAACAGGAAACAGCUUGCUGUUUCGCUGACGAGUGGCGGACGGGUGAGUAAUGUCUGGGAAACUGCCUGAUGGAGGGGGAUAACUACUGGAAACGGUAGCUAAUACCGCAUAACGUCGCAAGACCAAAGAGGGGGACCUUCGGGCCUCUUGCCAUCGGAUGUGCCCAGAUGGGAUUAGCUUGUAGGUGGGGUAACGGCUCACCUAGGCGACGAUCCCUAGCUGGUCUGAGAGGAUGACCAGCCACACUGGAACUGAGACACGGUCCAGACUCCUACGGGAGGCAGCAGUGGGGAAUAUUGCACAAUGGGCGCAAGCCUGAUGCAGCCAUGC